AAGUGCUAUGAUGCUGCUUUAAAUGCAUAAGGCAGAUAAGGCCCAAGAAAGGUUUAACUAUAAAGAACCAUCUAGAAGGACAGCAGGAGCCUUCAAGCUGUUGAUCAACAGUUAGCAGCAGAUUGAGCAAGCACAUCCGUCACCUGGUGUCUUCCCAACUGUGCCCUCAUUAGGGUUGCCGCCACCUGCCUCCAAUUAGGAACCAGAGAUAGAAACCAGCACAGCUGCUCUGUGGGAGAUUAGGGGCCAGAGACUGAGGCAUCUACAACAUGGAGAACAUUUUCCCUCCAGCAGAGCAGAAUUGAAGAAUAGAGCUGAAGAAAUCUGAAGGUCAUUAAAUGCAGUUUACCGAUGUAAGGCAGAGGAUGAUCAUCUUGCUAUCGCUCCUGCGCUCCCAAGGCCACCCAGUGCAAUCGAGGCCACAGUCUUCCACGCAGAGAGAAUGGACAUGCUGCAGAAAGGUACCUGUGGAGCUAAUAGUUUCAGGUCACUCGUGCGAGAGAUGCAAGUCACAUUCAACAAGAGGGGGA